rnacentral:rRNA from 1 species
GAAUUCAACUCCUACGGGAGGCAGCAGUGGGGAAUCUUGCGCAAUGGGCGAAAGCCUGACGCAGCCAUGCCGCGUGAAUGAUGAAGGUCUUAGGAUUGUAAAAUUCUUUCACCGGGGACGAUAAUGACGGUACCCGGAGAAGAAGCCCCGGCUAACUUCGUGCCAGCAGCCGCGGUAAUACGAAGGGGGCUAGCGUUGCUCGGAAUUACUGGGCGUAAAGGGCGCGUAGGCGGACAUUUAAGUCAGGGGUGAAAUCCCAGAGCUCAACUCUGGAACUGCCUUUGAUACUGGGUGUCUUGAGUGUGAGAGAGGUAUGUGGAACUCCGAGUGUAGAGGUGAAAUUCGUAGAUAUUCGGAAGAACACCAGUGGCGAAGGCGACAUACUGGCUCAUUACUGACGCUGAGGCGCGAAAGCGUGGGGAGCAAACAGGAUUAGAUACCCGAGUAGUCCAGGCGUU